rnacentral:lncRNA from 1 species
UUGAAUCAUAUAAAUGUGAAUAUAUGGUUUCGAUAGAAAAGUUUUGACAUACUCGUUAGUAAGAACUUCGAAAUACAGUGGUAAGAACGAAUGAUGAAAUCGAUGGAUGGAGUCACAUAGAUAAGCUUGCUUGGGCUUAGUGGGAUAUGUCCAUUGUGCCCAUGCGCUGGUCAUGGCUCAAGAAUUGGGUCGUGACAAGGAGGAUUUGAUAAGGCCUCAUAUUUUUUUUUCAAAAAU